CCCCUCGAUCAAGUAUGACUCGAUCGGACGACCUCCUUGGAGAGCAAUACUAUAACAAUGACGUGCUAGGUCUUAGUUUCCAUGGACUUCUCUGACUCCAUUUGCUAUUAGGAACUUCAUCUUUAGGUGAUAUAUGGACAUGACAGCUUGGAGCGCAUUUAGGCCUGGUCGAUCGAGGAUAGCAUUGUAGGUCGAGGGUGCUCGAAUGAUCAAAAAAUCAAUCUAGAUAGUAGA
rnacentral:lncRNA from 1 species